GAUGAACGCUGGCGGCGUGCCUAAUACAUGCAAGUCGAGCGAACGGACGAGAAGCUUGCUUCUCUGAUGUUAGCGGCGGACGGGUGAGUAACACGUGGAUAACCUACCUAUAAGACUGGGAUAACUUCGGGAAACCGUAGCUAAUACCGGAUAAUAUUUUGAACCGCAUGGUUCAAAAGUGAAAGACGGUCUUGCUGUCACUUAUAGAUGGAUCCGCGCUGCAUUAGCUAGUUGGUAAGGUAACGGCUUACCAAGGCAACGAUGCAUAGCGACCUGAGAGGGUGAUCGGCCACACUGGAACUGAGACACGGUCCAGACUCCUACGGGAGGCAGCAGUAGGGAAUCUUCCGCAAUGGGCGAAAGCCUGACGGAGCAACGCCGCGUGAGUGAUGAAGGUCUUCGGAUCGUAAAACUCUGUUAUUAGGGAAGAACAUAUGUGUAAGUAACUGUGCACAUCUUGACGGUACCUAAUCAGAAAGCCACGGCUAACUACGUG
rnacentral:rRNA from 1 species